UAUGUAGGCGGCCGAACAAGUCAGACGUGUAAGCCCACGGCUCAACCGUGGAAUUGCGUUUGAAACUGUCCGGCUUGAGUGCAGGAGAGGAAAGCGGAAUUCCCAGUGUAGCGGUGAAAUGCAUUGAUAUUGGGAAGAACAUCGGUGGCGAAGGCGGCUUUCUGGCCUGAUACUGACGCUGAGAUACGAAAGCCAGGGGAGCGAACG
rnacentral:rRNA from 1 species